rnacentral:pre_miRNA from 9 species
GACCGCACGGGUAACCUAUUAUCCCGUGCGGUCGGCCUUAUUGCACCGCACGGGAUAAUAGAUUAUCCUAUACGGUC